GACGAACGCUGACGGUGUGCUUUAGACAUGCAAGUCGAACGCGAAAGCCCUUCGGGGUGAGUAGAGUGGCGAACGGGUGAGUAACACGUGGGCAAUCUGCCCCUCCGCAGGGGGACGAACCGGAGGAAACUCCGGCUAAUACCCGUACGCUUGUGGGAUCGCAUGAUCUUGCAAGGAAAGGUAGCUUCGGCCAUCCGGCGAGGGAUGAGCCCGCGGUGCAUUAGCUAGUUGGUGGGGUAACGGCCCACCAAGGCGACGAUGCAUAGCUGGUCUGAGAGGAUGAUCAGCCACACGU
rnacentral:rRNA from 1 species